GACGAACGCUGGCGGCGUGCUUAACACAUGCAAGUCGAACGAAGAGCGACGGAAGCUUGCUUCUAUCAAUCUUAGUGGCGAACGGGUGAGUAACGCGUAAUCAACCUGCCCUUCAGAGGGGGACAACAGUUGGAAACGACUGCUAAUACCGCAUACGAUCUAAUCUCGGCAUCGAGGAUGGAUGAAAGGUGGCCUCUACAUGUAAGCUAUCACUGAAGGAGGGGAUUGCGUCUGAUUAGCUAGUUGGAGGGGUAACGGCCCACCAAGGCGAUGAUCAGUAGCCGGUCUGAGAGGAUGAACGGCCACAUUGGGACUGAGACACGGCCCAGACUCCUACGGGAGGCAGCAGUGGGGAAUCUUCCGCAAUGGACGAAAGUCUGACGGAGCAACGCCGCGUGAGUGAUGACGGCCUUCGGGUUGUAAAGCUCUGUUAAUCGGGACGAAGGGCCUUCUUGCGAAUAGUGAGAAGGAUUGACGGUACCGGAAUAGAAAGCCACGGCUAACUACGUG
rnacentral:rRNA from 1 species